UACGUAGGGUGCAAGCGUUGUCCGGAAUUAUUGGGCGUAAAGAGCUCGUAGGCGGUUUGUCGCGUCGGCUGUGAAAUCUCGGGGCUCAACCCCGAGUCUGCAGUCGAUACGGGCAGACUUGAGUGCUGUAGGGGAGACUGGAAUUCCUGGUGUAGCGGUGAAAUGCGCAGAUAUCAGGAGGAACACCGGUGGCGAAGGCGGGUCUCUGGGCAGUAACUGACGCUGAGGAGCGAAAGCGUGGGGAGCGAACAGG
rnacentral:rRNA from 1 species